rnacentral:rRNA from 1 species
GUCAAGUCAGCAUGGCCUUGAUGUCCAGGGCGACACACACGCUACAAUGGCUGGGACAAUGGGUCGCCAAGGCGCGAGCCGGAGCCAAUCCCGCAAACCCAGUCGUAGUUCGGAUUGCAGGCUGCAACUCGACCCCGUGAAGUCGGAGUCGCUAGUAAUCGCAGAUCAGCAACGCUGCGGUGAAUACGUUCCCGGGCCUU